rnacentral:lncRNA from 1 species
GAUAUCAAUCAGUUUACGAGAGACUGUCAGUUUAUUCUAAUAUUAAUUAAUUUUUUUAAUUAUUUUUUAUUUUUAAUUUGAACGUUAAAAAUUUUUUAUCGAAAAAUAUCAUCCACGAUGAAGAUUUAUUUUGUAGAUGUUCCAUGAUGUUCCAGCGGCGAUUUUAUUUCAGCCAUAUCUAUUUUGACGACUGAUCACGGACGGAG